UACGUAGGUGGCAAGCGUUGUCCGGAAUUACUGGGUGUAAAGGGAGCGUAGGCGGGGAGGCAAGUUGAAUGUUUAAACUAUCGGCUCAACUGAUAGUCGCGUUCAAAACUGCCACUCUUGAGUGCAGUAGAGGUAGGCGGAAUUCCUAGUGUAGCGGUGAAAUGCGUAGAUAUUAGGAGGAACACCAGUGGCGAAGGCGGCCUACUGGGCUGUAACUGACGCUGAGGCUCGAAAGCGUGGGUAGCAAACAGG
rnacentral:rRNA from 1 species